rnacentral:rRNA from 1 species
UGAAGCGGGAAAAGCUCAAAUUUAAAAUCUGGCAGUCUUUUGACUGUCCGAGUUGUAAUCUAGAGAAGUGCUAUCCGUGCUGGACCAUGUAUAAGUCUCCUGGGAUGGAGCAUCACAGAGGGUGAGAAUCCCGUCUAUGACAUGGACUCCCAGUGCAUUGUGAUGUGCUCUCAAAGAGUCGAGUUGUUUGGGAAUGCAGCUCUAAAUGGGUGGUAAAUUCCAUCUAAAGCUAAAUAUUGGCGAGAGACCGAUAGCGAACAAGUACCGUGAGGGAAAGAUGAAAAGAACUUUGGAAAGAGAGUUAAACAGUACGUGAAAUUGUUGAAAGGGAAACGCUUGAAGUCAGUCACAUUGGCUGGGGAUCAACUCUGCUCUUUUGCUGGGUGUACUUCCUAGUUAAUGGGUCAGCAUCAAUUUUGAUCACUGGAAAAAGGUAGAGGGAAUGUGGCAUCUUAGGAUGUGUUAUAGCCCUUUAUUGUAUACAGUGGUUGGGAUUGAGGAUAUCAGCACGCCGUAAGGCUGGGUCAUUGACCACACUCGUGCUUAGGAUGCUGGCAUAAUGGCUUUAAUCGACCCGUCUUGAAACACGGACCAAGGAGUCUAACAUGCCUGCGAGUGUUUGGGUGGAAAACCCAAGCGCGUAAUGAAAGUGAAAGUUGAGAUCCCUGUCAUGGGGAGCAUCGACGCCCGGACCAGAACUUUUGGGACGGAUCUGCGGUAGAGCAUGUAUGUUGGGACCCGAAAGAUGGUGAACUAUGCCUGAAUAGGGCGAAGCCAGAGGAAACUCU